CUCUGAAAAGAUGCAUCUCUGUAUCAUCCUCUGUGGGAUAUUUCAUCUGUCAGCUGUGAUCCAGUCAGCUACAGUCAAGCAGGAGACUGGGGUGAGAUUUGCUGCUGUUGGGGACAACGUGACUUUGCGUUGCUUUUAUGAAAGCCAAGUGGCGAUGCACUUCUCCUGGUACCGACAAUUCUUAGGAAGCCAACCUAAGCGCCUCUCUACAAUUUACAAAUAUGAUAAGCCAUCUGAAGUCAUCCACACAUUGGAGAAGAACCCUCGUUUCUCUGUGGAAAGAAAGGAAGGGACCAAUCAUCUACAAAUCUCUGGUGUCCGCCUCUCAGAUUCAGCUACAUACUACUGCGGGAGCUCUCACUCCAACAUGGUGGAAUUUGGAGAAGGGAUCUUUCUGAGUGUUCGAGCGUUCCCGUGCUUAGACUCUAGGGCCGAUGGGCCAGAUCCCCCCAGUCACUCCCUCCAGCUCUUCCAAGGGGACACUGGGGCCUUCACAAACCAACUUUCCAUUGAGUCGUUGGUCUGCCUUGUCUGA